rnacentral:rRNA from 1 species
UACGUAGGGGGCAAGCGUUGUCCGGAAUUAUUGGGCGUAAAACGCGUGUAGGCGGCCAGAUAAGUCCGCUGUGAAAUCUCGAGGCUCAACUUCGAGCUGUCGGUGGAAACUAUCUGGCUAGAGUCCGGAAGAGGAGAAUGGAAUUCCUGGUGUAGCGGUGAAAUGCGCAGAUAUCAGGAAGGACACCCGUGGCGAAGGCGGUUCUCUGGGACGGUACUGACGCUGAGACGCGAAAGCGUGGGGAGCGAACAGG